rnacentral:rRNA from 1 species
GAGUUUGUAUCAUGGCUCAGGAUGAACGCUAGCGGCAGGCUUAACACAUGCAAGUCGAGGGGCAGCGGGGUGUAGCAAUACACUGCCGGCGACCGGCGCACGGGUGCGUAACGCGUAUGCAACCUACCCAUAACAGGGGCAUAACACUGAGAAAUUGGUACUAAUUCCCCAUAACGAUUCGAAGAGGCAUCUCUUUGGGUUGAAAAACUCCGGUGGUUAUGGAUGGGCAUGCGUUGUAUUAGCUAGUU